UACGUAGGGUGCGAGCGUUAAUCGGAAUUACUGGGCGUAAAGCGUGCGCAGGCGGUUUUGUAAGUCAGAUGUGAAAUCCCCGGGCUCAACCUGGGAACUGCGUUUGAAACUACAAGGCUAGAGUGUAGCAGAGGGGGGUGGAAUUCCACGUGUAGCAGCGAAAUGCGUAGAGAUGUGGAGGAACACCGAUGGCGAAGGCAGCCCCCUGGGUUAACACUGACGCUCAGGCACGAAAGCGUGGGGAGCAAACAGG
rnacentral:rRNA from 1 species